GACGAACGCUGGCGGCGUGCUUAACACAUGCAAGUCGAACGGAAAGGCCCUGCUAUUGUGGGGUGCUCGAGUGGCGAACGGGUGAGUAACACGUGAGUAACCUGCCAUUGACUUUGGGAUAACUUCAGGAAACUGGGGCUAAUACCGGAUAGGAGCUCCUGCUGCAUGGUGGGGGUUGGAAAGUUUCGGCGGUUGGGGAUGGACUCGGCGCUUAUCAGCUUGCUGGUGGGGUAGUGGCUUACCAAGGCUUUGACGGGUAGCCGGCCUGAGAGGGUGACCGGCCACAUUGGGACUGAGAUACGGCCCAGACUCCUACGGGAGGCAGCAGAGGGGAAUAGUGCACAAUGGGCGGAAGCCUGAUGCAGCAACGCCGCGUGCGGGAUGACGGCCUUCGGGUUGUAACCCGCUUUCGCCUGUGACGAAGAGUGAGUGACGGUAAUGGGUAAAGAAGCACCGGCUAAAUACGUG
rnacentral:rRNA from 1 species